GAUGCUUCGAGCGUCGGCGGCGGCGGGCGCGGAGCUUUUAUAGCGGAGGAGCCGCGGGUUGCAUCAGCGCGUGUGGGCGGGGCUUACCGGUUGAGUCCAGAAGGUUCCUCACGCAACAUGUCCGGACAUUGCACAGUGCACAGACUCAAGAUUCCCGUAAAACAUCACAGGUCUAGACGAGGCGGCAUGAGCCCUGCCUUAGUCACAGGUUGGGAACGACCUGCCUACAUCGUCCCAAGUGCAGCUGAGGUUCAGACGAGGCUCCACUCGAGUGGUGUGGAUCAGAUCCCUCUGCCCCGUUGAGAAAACACCCGGGAGGUGAACAUUUCUGAUGCAACGUCUCCCAACUGUUUCAGCUGCAGCGCUGCAGGAAAUCGUGUCCUGUUCUUUGAAAGAGGAAAGAUGACGACAAAUUCUCUUCUAAACAACGGAAAACACGU